UGGAAGUAAAAGUCGUAACAAGGUUUCCGUUGGUGAACCAGCGGAAGGAUCAUUACAGCGAAGCGGCGCGAGCCGCCUUUCGAACCACCGCGUACCGAACCCCCCACGUUGCCUCGGCGGGCGCCGGGCGCCCCGCGCCCGCCCCGCCGAACGGCCCCCCAGCAAGACCCCUUCCGUCGAGAUGGCGUCGUCUGAACCCUCCGGGGAAAACGUUUGAAACGAAAAACACAGCUUUCAACAAUGGAUCUCUUGGCUCCGGCAUCGAUGAAGAACGCAGCGAAACGCGAUAGCUAGUGUGAAUUGCAGAUUUCAGUGAAUCAUCGAGUCUUUGAACGCACAUUGCGCCUCUUGGUAUUCCUCGAGGCAUGCCUGUUCGAGCGUCGUUACGCCCCUCAAGCGCGAGCUUGGUGUUGGGGACCGCCCCUGAGACACGGCGGCGGCCCCGGAAUGCAUCGGCGGUGCUGGUCCCAGCCCGGAGCGCAGCAGACAUGCGGCUCCGCGGGCGGGGCCGGCGCCCGCCGGACAAACGACGAGACCCCUCCACAAGUCGACCUCGAAUCAGGUAGGGAUACCCGCUGAACUUAAGCAUAUCAAUAAGCGGAGGA
rnacentral:misc_RNA from 1 species